rnacentral:lncRNA from 1 species
GAAACGUGCUGCUGAAAUCUUGUUUGGGCUUGGAUUUGAUAAGAAAAUGCAAGCAAAGAAAACACGCGAUUUUUCUGGUGGCUGGAGAAUGAGGAUUGCUCUUGCCCGUGCCCUCUUUAUGAAUCCAACAAUUUUGUUGCUUGAUGAGCCAACAAACCAUCUUGGUAAUCUUCUCUUUUCAUUUUCUAGUUCUAGUAGAAUAGAUCUUUCAGAAAUUAUUAGGGUUUUCACGUGCUAGAUUUAUAUGGAUGAUGUGUAGUCUUACACAUUGAGUUAUCAGUUAUGUGUGUCGUAAAUUGCAUAUAUAGGGCAUCCAAAGUGGUUCAUGGGUCUUGAGUUGCUACACCAUUGUCUGUUAUAGAUUGACGCCUAGAUUUUACACACAGCAUCACAACCAAUCCGAACUAAACUUUCACCACUCCAUCCUCACACACAUAACGUCCCAAAUGUGAACCACAUAAUCGGGAUACGUGUGUGUGCGGGGGGGAGGUGAUGAAUUGAAUAACAUGCUAUUUUGGGUUAAGUACUCAGUUUCUUUUGCUGUACACCCCUCUAUGCAUCGUUGCAGUUCUAUUUCAGCAGCAACUCUCCUGGCUGUUUUUAUGUUUCUUUGUGAUGUUAAUUUAUUACAAAAAGUUGUUCUUAAAUGAAAAGGGAAGUCUUUACUUUUGGACUGAUGGAAAAUAUUAGUUCAUCCCCUGAAUUUUUUAACACUUCAUUUAUGGGUCUUUUAGAGUUGACAUGUGUAAUUCUUCUUGAAUGCAGACCUAGAAGCCUGUGUGUGGUUAGAAGAAUCCUUGAAGAACUUUGAGCGCAUUCUGGUUGUCAUUUCACACUCACAGGAUUUUCUCAAUGGUGUGUGUACCAAUAUCAUCCACAUGCAAAACAAGAAGUUGAAACUCUAUACAGGUAACUACGACCAAUAUGUGCAAACCCGUUCAGAGCUGGAAGAGAACCAGAUGAAACAGUACAAGUGGGAGCAGGAGCAGAUUUCUGCAAUGAAGGAAUACAUUGCUCGCUUUGGGCACGGUUCAGCUAAACUAGCCCGUCAAGCACAGAGUAAAGAGAAGACAUUGGCUAAGAUGGAGCGUGGUGGGCUUACUGAGAAGGUGGGGAGGGACAGCGUCCUGGUUUUCCGGUUUACUGAUGUCGGCAAACUUCCUCCUCCAGUUCUACAGUUUUCUGAAGUUGCUUUUGGCUACACACCUGAAAACCUCAUCUACAAGAACCUUGAUUUUGGUGUAGAUCUCGACUCCAGGGUAGCACUUGUAGGGCCUAAUGGAGCUGGAAAGAGCACACUGCUUAAGCUGAUGAUAGGGGAGUUAUUUCCCACUGAUGGCAUGGUUAAGCGGCAUAAUCACCUAAAAAUUGCACAGUACCACCAGCACUUGACUGAGAAGCUAGACAUGGAGGUGUCAGCUCUUUUGUACAUGAUGAGAGAGUACCCUGGGAAUGAGGAGGAGAAGAUGAGGGCAGCAAUUGGGAGGUUUGGACUCACAGGUAAAGCUCAAGUAAUGGCUAUGAAGAACUUGUCAGAUGGUCAACGUAGUCGGGUGAUCUUUGCAUGGUUGGCUUUUAGACAACCCCACAUGCUGCUGUUGGAUGAGCCAACUAACCAUCUUGAUAUUGAGACCAUUGACUCACUUGCAGAGGCCUUGAACGCAUGGGAUGGUGGGAUGGUUCUAGUGAGUCACGACUUUAGGCUCAUAAAUCAGGUGGCCCAUGAGAUAUGGGUAUGUGAAAAUCAG